rnacentral:rRNA from 1 species
UGGGGAAUAUUGCACAAUGGGCGCAAGCCUGAUGCAGCCAUGCCGCGUGUGUGAAGAAGGCCUUCGGGUUGUAAAGCACUUUCAGCGAGGAGGAAGGGUUCAGUGUUAAUAGCACUGUUCAUUGACGUUACUCGCAGAAGAAGCACCGGCUAACUCCGUGCCAGCAGCCGCGGUAAUACGGAGGGUGCAAGCGUUAAUCGGAAUUACUGGGCGUAAAGCGCACGCAGGCGGUUUGUUAAGUCAGAUGUGAAAUCCCCGCGCUUAACGUGGGAACUGCAUUUGAAACUGGCAAGCUAGAGUCUUGUAGAGGGGGGUAGAAUUCCAGGUGUAGCGGUGAAAUGCGUAGAGAUCUGGAGGAAUACCGGUGGCGAAGGCGGCCCCCUGGACAAAGACUGACGCUCAGGUGCGAA